UACCAGCACCCCGAGUGGUCGGGACGAUUAUUGGGCCUAAAGCAUCCGUAGCCGGUUCUGCAAGUCUUCCGUUAAAUCCAGCUGCUUAACAGUUGGGCUGCGGAGGAUACUAUAGAGCUAGGAGGCGGGAGAGGCAAGCGGUACUUAGUGGGUAGGGGUAAAAUCCGUUGAUCCACUGAAGACCACCAGUGGCGAAGGCGGCUUGCCAGAACGCGCUCGACGGUGAGGGAUGAAAGCUGGGGGAGCAAACCGG
rnacentral:rRNA from 1 species